GCCUUUCUCUGACUAGUUUGUGAGCGGUGGUGUCUGCAUAAUGCUUGAUACUUAGCUGCAUGCUUUCUUUUUAACGUGACCUAGGGAUGGCAUGGGGAUUUGAUGGCGGGCUGUUAGGUAGCCAGGCGGUAUCAAGAAGUGCCAUUCAAGGCGAAACAACAGAAUGAUGAAUUAAGAGAGCACUUCUCACUUGGGUGACACUGAAUAGAUUAACUAACACCAGUAACUUAAGCUUGCCUUUUCUCAUCUCUAAAACAGUCACGUACAUGUUAAGAUUGGUAAAGGUUUGAUUUUGCCAUUAGCCACCCGCCACUGCACCUGACCACUUCUCUGUUGGCUGGUGCAUUCCAGUGGUGAGCUGAAAGCAAACCCCAGCUUAGGAAACAGGGUCAUUCUUCAUGUGGGUGACUCUGUGCCGAAAGUAUGGGAACAACCAGGAAGUG